UUCGGCGGCGAUAGCGGCGGGGGUACACCUCUUCCCAUUCCGAACAGAGAAGUUAAGCCCGCCAGCGCCGAUGGUACUCGGAGGGCAACCUCCCGGGAGAGUAGGUCGCCGCCGACU
rnacentral:rRNA from 1 species